CUGAGUUCGGGAAGGGAUAACCGCUGAAAGCAUCUAAGCGGGAAGCCUACCUCAAGAUAAGAUUUCCCUAGGACUUUAUGUCCUCUAAAGAGCCGUUCGAGACUAGGACGUUGAUAGGUUGGAUGUGGAAGCAUAGUGAUA
rnacentral:rRNA from 1 species